ensembl:snRNA U1 U1 spliceosomal RNA
AUACUUACAUGGCAGGGGAGAUACCAUGAUCAUGCAGGUGGGUUUCCCAAGGCAAGGCUCAUCCAUUGUACUUGGGAUGUGCUGACCCCUGCGAUUUCCCCAAGUGUGGGAAACUCUGCAUAAUUUGUGGUAGUGGGGGACUGUAUUCACGCUCUCCCCUG